AGGGCACAGACAGCCUACAGAGUUAGCCUGCCUAGAGUCACACAGGAGCACUGUGAGAGGAGCAAGCUCGAGAGUGAAGGUAGGUGUGGAUCUGCAGAAUAUUAGAGCUGCCAAAUCCCCGGGGAGUGUGAGGUUCGUCUAGGAUAGCACCACUGCUUGGCAGCAGCUUAAGGAGAAAAGAAGAAUCGAUCAUUGAGGAUAAUAUCAGGUAAGUUCAGGAA
rnacentral:lncRNA from 1 species